rnacentral:pre_miRNA from 15 species
GUUAAGGGGAAUGUUGCCCGGCUCGAGGUCACUUAGGCACACAUGCUGUCUCCUGAUUCAGUAGACCUCCUUCUUAGCCGAGGCUAAGUGAACUCGGACCAGGCUUCAUUCCUCUCAGC